GAUGUACUUCCUCUGUCCGGAAAUACUUGUCGUAAAAAUGGAUACAAAUGGAUGUAUCUAGAACUAAAAUACAUAUAGGUACAUCCAUUCUUCGGACAAAUAUUUCCGGACGGAGGGAGUAUGUA
rfam:Triticum urartu cultivar G1812 contig361669, whole genome shotgun sequence.